GCCUGGCUGGCUCAGUUGGUAGAGCAUGUGACUCUUCAUCGACUCUAUCUCAGGGUUGUGAGUUCAAGUCCCAUGUUGGGCC
rnacentral:tRNA from 1 species